rnacentral:rRNA from 1 species
UACGUAGGGUGCAAGCGUUGCCCGGAUUUAUUGGGCGUAAAGCGUGCGCAGGCGGCCGAGCAAGUCGAGUGUGAAAGCCCCGGGCUUAACUUGGGAAUUGCGCUCGAAACUACUUGGCUGGAGUGUGGCAGAGGAAGGUGGAAUUCCAGGUGUAGCGGUGAAAUGCGUAGAGAUCUGGAGGAACACCGAUGGCGAAGGCAGCCUUCUGGGCCAACACUGACGCUCAUGCACGAAAGCGUGGGGAGCAAACAGG